UCCCAGAUUGGCUCCAGCAGAAAAGUCCCUCGUGCACAGGCAGCUCUUGUGCCGGCACUACUUGAAAACAUGGCUACGGGCCAGCUUCCUGCUUGCAGUCACUCGCAUAGCACAGAGGUGGGGCUUCGGGCAGGGAGCGGAGAUUCCUCAUAGGUGAGUCCAAAUGACCUCCAGCCUCUCGAAGGCAUCAAGACAAAUUGAAAGAAAGCAAUAACUCACCAAAGCUCAACGCUGCCCCUGCCUCGACCUCCAUGGGUCUCUUCGUGUUCCUCGUUUCACCCCAGAAAGUGGAGGUUUCCUCUUGGCAUUUUCGGAGGAAACUUGUAGGACACCCAAGGCGACUAAGAGACAGCCUCCUUGGCAAGGGCAGGCACCACUUUGUAGCAACUUGGGCACCAGCUUUUCUGGACAGCCUGGCUUCUUACUGGCAUUGUCCAACUCAUCC
rnacentral:lncRNA from 1 species